AUGCAUCCACAAUAGACCUUGGAGAAUUUGCUGUUGUUAUUUUGGUUUGCACUAGGAUGCCAAAGGAAAAUCCUUGCACUUUCUGUCUGUCUUUGUGGCAGCCCAGAUUGAAUUGGGGAAUACAUUU
ensembl:snoRNA